rnacentral:misc_RNA from 1 species
AAAAGUCGUAACAAGGUUGCCGUAGGUGAACCUGCGGCAGGAUCAUUAAUGAUUUCAAACCUUAAAAACAUCGUCCUGUAUUGGGCUGCUUCUCGAGAGUCUGCUUCGGCAGUCUCGAUCGAGUGAGCUAAACAUACAUACACAAACUUUGUUUUCACAUGACUCGACACACGAAUUAUUAGUGUCGCCGUAAAAAAAAAACUUGCCGAUCGGUGGAUCACUCGGCUGGUG